GGCUAACGCUGGCGGCGUGUCUUAGCCAUGCAAGUCGAGCGGACUUAUGGGGUAACUUAUAAGUCAGCGGCGGACGGCGGAGUAACACGUAGCUAACCUACCCUCUGGACGGGGAUAACCUACCGAAAGGUGGGCUAAUACCCGAUGUAGUCAUCCUGUAUAGGGGUGAUGAAAGGUGGGCUUCUGUUUACAAGCUCAUGCUGGAGGAGGGGGGCUGCGGCCUAUCAGGUAGUUGGUAGGGGUAAUAGCCUACCAAGCCGAUGACGGGUAGCCGGCCUGAGAGGGUGACCGGCCCGAGGGGCACUGAGAUACGGGUCCCACUCCUACGGGAGGCAGCAGGCUAGAAAUUUGGGCAAUGGGGGAAACCCUGACCCAGUGACGCCGCGUGCAGGAAGGAGCCCUUCGGGGUGUAAACUGCUGUCGUGUAGGGAGAAGGGUACUAAGGUGAACAAUCUUAGUACUUGACGGUACUACAGGAGGAAGCCCAGGCUAACCUCGUG
rnacentral:rRNA from 1 species